rfam:Oryzias latipes DNA, scaffold2921, strain: Hd-rR.
GUCAGGAUGGCCGAGCGGUCCAAGGCGCUGCGUUCAGGUCGCAGUCUGGUAAGAGGCGUGGGUUCAAAUCCCACUUCUGAAA